rnacentral:lncRNA from 1 species
GAGACCUGCAGCAUCAGCCUCCAGUCGCAGUGUGGGCUCACCAACGCUGUGGAGGACGUAGCGCACGUCCUGCACUGCAUGAGCUCCAGCCACCUCUCCCUGACCGAGGACAGCAUCAUGGCCCUGGUGGCCGAGAUGACCGACCGCCUCAGCUCUUUGGUCCAGGAGCUCGCUACCACGGACUUUGAGGAGGUGGUGGACUACUUCAGGAGCUCUUCCACCAGGUGGACUCCCCCGUCCUGGCCCCGGAGAACCUGGAAGACCCAGACUUCGUCCGCCUCUGGUUCAGGGUCAAGCUGCUGCCCCUUCUCCCCGACGUGCCCCUGGACCUGUUGACCUGCCUCAGCAUGAAGAACUUCACCUGCCCCGUGUACCAGGCACUCGUGGAAGAGCUGAGUGAGCACAUGCCACGCCUGGACCCAGAGCUGAUGCACAGUCCCAUGGUGUACGAGCACUUCAUCUUCCCCUUCCUGUUAAACCACAACGACACAGAUCCUCAUUGUGUUUCAUCAGCUGAGGACAGCGAAGAAUGGCUUGAGGAUAACUUUGGUUUCUUCUCCGUGUUUGCCUCCCUACGAGAGCUGUACCAACUAAACCCAAGCUUCGCUGCACUGGAGACCCUGGACAUCCUGAGCCCCCAGCAGACCGCCCAGCUGCUGGUGCUGCCUCUCCCCUCCCCGGAGGGGAAGGAGGUCAUCAUCAACGCUGUGUUUGACUACCUGCUCGAGGCGCCUGAGGAGCACCAGUUCCAGGAGGUUGUGCACUACACGGCCAUGCUGGCCAGGGAGGUUAACCCACCUUGUGCUGUGAUAAGACUCAUCAUUGAGCGUCUGUACGCCGCUUUGCAAUCCUUAAAUCCAUUGUUUGAACCGUUCACUUAUGAGCACAUCGAUAAACUCAUACAAGCAGCCCCAAAAGAUUGUUUGCCACAGAAUGUCACGGUGAGAUCUCUUGUAUAUAGUCCAUCCAUCGUACUGCUACUAUUAAAC